rnacentral:rRNA from 1 species
GUGUCAGCAGCCGCGGUAAUACGAAGGGUGCUAGCGUUGUUCGGAAUCACUGGGCGUAAAGCGCGCGUAGGCGGCUAUUCAAGUCAGGGGUGAAAUCCUGGGGCUCAACCCCAGAACUGCCUCUGAAACUGAGUAGCUAGAGUGUCGGAGGGGAUAGCGGAAUUCCUAAUGUAGAGGUGAAAUUCGUAGAUAUUAGGAGGAACACCGGUGGCGAAGGCGGCUAUCUGGACGACAACUGACGCUGAGGCGCGAAAGCGUGGGGAUCAAACAGGAUUAGAAACCCUGGUAGUCC